rnacentral:RNase_P_RNA from 1 species
AUUAUCGAGUAAUCGAGCGGAAGAAAUUCCGUUAGGAAAGUCCAUGCUAGCACAGGCUGAGAUGCCUGUAGUGUUUGUGCUAAACGAACAAAUAAGUUUAGGCACUCAAAUAUUUUGAGUGACGGCGAAGAAAUGGAUGUUAAAGGCCAAAGUAUUCUUAAGGUGCAACAGUGACGAUACACAGAAUAAUAUCUGUGGGUGAAACGGGUAAACCCCUCAAGCUAGAAACCCAAAUUAUGGUAGGGGCAUGGUUAAAGGAGAAAUGAAUCCAUUUAACUGACAACUAUUUAGUUGUAGAUAAAUGAUUACUGAUUUCUAAUUUUAGAAAUUACAGAACAUGGCUUAUAGAU